rnacentral:lncRNA from 1 species
CGCACUGCGGCCGCCUCGCCUUGGCUGGGGAGAACCUCGAGUCUAGCUUUGUACCAGGCUGCAGUGCAGUAGUGCCAUCUCAGCUCACUGCAACCUCUGCCUCCCGGGUUCAAGAGAUUGUCCUGCCUCAGCCUCCCGAGUAGCUGGGAUUACAGGCACAUGCCACCACACCCAGCUAAUGUUUGUAUUUUUAGUAGACACGGGGUUUCAUCAUGUUGCCCAGGAUGGUCUCAAUUUCCUGACCUCGUGAUCCGCACAUCUCGGCCUCCCAAAAUGCUGGGAUUACAGGCAUGAGCCACCAGAACCGGACAUGCUUUCCUUAAAAGCUAAAUAUUUUAGGCUUGUGUGCCAUUAGGCUCUGUUACAACUACUUAAUUCUGCUUUUGUAAUUCUAUAGCACCCAUUGAUAAUACAUAAACAAAUGAGCAUGAAUGUAUCUCAGUAAAAAUUUGUUCACAUAAACAGGCAGUCCACCCAUGAAGCUAUAGCUUGCUGACCCCUUGUUUAAACAAUCAAUUGAAUUCAAACAGAAAUAAAAGGAUCUUAUAUAUUUAACCAUGUUGAUACCAUUUCCAGUGCUUUUCAUUCUUCUAUGUAGAUCCAAAUUUCCUUUUGAU